UGGGGAAUAUUGGACAAUGGGGGAAACCCUGAUCCAGCCACGCCGCGUGAGUGAUGAAGGCCCUCGGGUUGUAAAACUCUGUCGUGAGUGAGGAACGUGACGUUAACUCACAAGAAAGCACCGGCUAACUCCGUGCCAGCAGCCGCGGUAAUACGGAGGGUGCAAGCGUUGCUCGGAAUUACUGGGCGUAAAGGGUGCGCAGGCGGAUUGUUAAGCAAGAUGUGAAAGCCCAGGGCUCAACCCAGGAACUGCAUCUUGAACUGGCAAUCUUGAGUCCGUGAGAGGGGGGUAGAAUUCCAGGUGUAGAGGUGAAAUUCGUUGAUAUCUGGAGGAAUACCGGUGGCGAAGGCGGCCCCCUGGCACGGUACUGACGCUGAGGCACGAAAGCGUGGGGAGCAAACAGG
rnacentral:rRNA from 1 species